CAAUAGCGUAUAUUAACGUUGUUGCAGUUAAAAAGCUCGUAGUUGGAUUUCUGGAGGGAGCGUCGGCCCGUAUUUACGAGUGCGUGACGUCUCUGUCCAUCCUUGCGGGAAGGCACGGCAUUGAUUUGUUGUGUCGGAUCGCAUCAUUUACUGUGAAAAAAUUAGAGUGUUCAAAGCAGGCUUUCGCUUGAAUACAUUAGCAUGGAAUAAUAAGAUAGGACUUUGGUACUAUUUUGUUGGUUUGCGCACCAAAGUAAUGAUUAAUAGGGACAGUUGGGGGUAUUCGUAUUCCGUUGUCAGAGGUGAAAUUCUUGGAUUUACGGAAGACGAACUACUGCGAAAGCAUUUACCAAGGAUGUUUUCAUUAA
rnacentral:rRNA from 1 species